ensembl:lncRNA
GUUAGGAGUUAGGGUUAAGGUUAGGGUUAGCUUAGGGUUACAAUUAGGGUUAGGGUUAGGGUUAGUGUUAGGGUUAGGGUUAGUGUUUGAGUUUGCAUUGGUUUUAGGGUUAGGGUAAGGGUUAGGGUUAAGGUUAGGGUUAGUGUUAGGGUUAUUGAAAGUGUUAGGGUUAGUGUUAAAGUUAGGGUUAGGUAUAAGGUUAUUGAGAGGGUUAGGGUUAGGGUUAGGGUUAGGGUUAGGGUUAGGGUUAGGGUUAGGGUUAGGGUUAGGGUUAGGGUUAGGGUUAGGGUAGGGUUAGGGUUAGGGUUAGGGUUAGGGUUAGGGUUAGGGUUAGGGUUAGGGUUAGGGUUAGGGUUAGGGUUAGGGUUAGGGUUAGGUUUACGGUUAGGGUUAGGGUUAGGGUUAGGGUUAGCGUUAGGGUUAUUGAAAGUUAUUGUGCUAGGGUUUUGGUUAGUGUUAAAAUUAUGGUUAGGGUUAGGUUUACGGUUAGGGUUAGGGUUAGGGUCAGGGUUAGGGUAAUGGCUAAGGCUAGGGUAGGAGUUAAGGUUAGGGUUAGGGUUAGGGUUGUUGUAAGGGCUAGGGU